rnacentral:rRNA from 1 species
UACGAAGGGGGCUAGCGUUGUUCGGAAUUACUGGGCGUAAAGGGCGCGUAGGCGGCUCUGAUCGUCGGAUGUGAAAGGCCUGGGCUCAACCUGGGAAUGGCAUCCGAUACGGCGGGGCUGGAGUGUGGGAGAGGUUGGUGGAAUUCCCAGUGUAGAGGUGAAAUUCGUAGAUAUUGGGAAGAACACCGGUGGCGAAGGCGGCCAACUGGACCACAACUGACGCUGAGGCGCGAAAGCUAGGGGAGCGAACAGG